AAGAAAAAAAAAACAACGCGCACAUAUAUGAUUCUCCAGGUUUGAGAACACUCAUUCGAAUGUAGUAAAGUGCAACGCGUUUCAUUUCCAUUGUUUUUGUGUUUUCUGUGCUGGCGAAUCGUUCUUUUUUUUCUCUCUCGUUCGGCUCGUUCAUUAAUUUGGCGUAAAACACUUGAAAAUGGCGAGUCACACACAGAUAUGCAUACAUGAACGAAGUAAAGUAGAAGUUUUGUAAGAAGAAAAAAAACCCUGAUCGUUUAAGUGACCAAAUGAUUAUAAUCGCAUGAUUACAUUUGCUCCGUUUGCGUUGUAUUUUCACGCUUUCAAGCUCGACAAAGUGAUCUCUUAAUUUAAUUAUACAGUAAAAUAAUCUGCAUGGGUAUUGUUUCGUCCUCUUCAUCGUUGUCUUCGACAAUUCAUUUUAUUAUUCCAAAUGAUGUAAUCUCGCUCACUCUCUUCUGUCAAGUCGUCGGGUUAUACGGGAAUUCCUUCUUUCUUUUUGGAGUGAGAGCGCGCAACCAAAACAAAAUGAAGCUUUUCAUUGCACUGACAUGUGGUGUGUUGAGUAUUCUUGAAAAAAAAAAAUUCUUUUGGUUGUUAUUUUUUGCUCUCUCUCCCUCUCUCUCUCACAUUCGGCUUAAAAAUGGACAAACGAAAAUAAUGAAACAGAAAAAAAGAGCCCAGCACACACGAAACGACGAUCCAAUUGAAAAUGAGAAAGUGCAGUGUGAUCGAGACCGAGAAGGAAAAAUGUUCUCAGGCACGGACUGGUCCGCGCUGCUCGAAAAGAUAUGAAAAAGAAGAUAAAGCUAUUAUAAAUAUAAAUUAAUCUCAAUCGUUUUCAUGUGGCGUUCAAUGGAAUGAGGGAAAUACAUACGCCAGUAAAACACUUAAUAGUUUGAAGCGAAAAAUCCACGAAGCCAAAACUGAAUUUCAAAAGAAAUGAACGAAAUACAACAACAGCAAAAGGCACGCAAAAAAAUAAAACAACAAAACAAAACGAAAAAACAAAAACAAAAACGAGAAGAAAAUAAAAAUUGUGCACACGGCGAUAUUAACCGAGCGGUAUGCAGAAAUGCAAAAUAAUCAUUGGUGAUCCUUAUGGCCCAUGUAACGAUAAUAGCCUGAACCAGCGCAAUGAGGAGCAAUGCCGAGGCCAGCAAAGGAAAAGGGGGAGAGCGAGCGGCAAAUGUAGAUGAGCGCAAGCGGGUGCGCAUAUGGCAUAGAGAUAAAAAUCGGGAGCAAUAGUAGAAUAAAAUAGUGACGAAGAUGCAGUGGCCAAAUAUAAUGGAAUAUUACGAUUUGCAUUGCCAUUUGUGGCUUUGACUUAAAAGUCAGUAAUUUUAUGAAUUUCAGCCGUUCAAUCGCGACCGAGAACAAGCGAUCGAGUGAGAGAGUGAGAGAGAGAGCGAGUGCCUCGACUUGGCCGUGCUUCGUGACGGCAUUGUGCAUAAUAUUCGUAAUUGAGUAAACAAUUUAGCAAAAAUGUUACCGAACAAAAGGCAUAAAGCAUCUGAAUAAUAAACGUAUUUU